GGUACUCCAGGACCAGUUGGAGUCCCAGGCCCAGCAGGACCAAAAGGAGAAAGGGGCAGCAAAGGAGACCCUGGGAUCACAGGACCAAUGGGAGCAGUUGGGCUUCCUGGUUUGCACGGACCACCCGGUGACAAAGGAAAUCGGGUGAGUCAGAAGCCGAAUUCCUUGUAUUUGGUUACUAAUGUCUUCAGGAUGU